AUGCGAUCCGCCGCGCGGAGGGGACUCGCCGCGCCCGCCGCCAGGGACUCUUUGCCGGUGCUACUGUUUUUAUGCUUGCUUCUGAAGACGUGUGAACCUAAAACUGCAAAUGCCUUUAAACCAAAUAUCCUACUGAUCAUGGCGGAUGAUCUAGGCAUUGGGGAUCUCAGUUGCUAUGGGAACAAUACACUGAGAACGCCGAAUAUUGACCAGCUUGCAGAGGAAGGUGUGAGGCUCACUCAGCACCUGGCGGCUGCCCCGCUCUGCACCCCAAGCCGAGCUGCAUUCCUCACAGGGAGACAUUCCUUCAGAUCAGGCAUGGACGCCAGCAAUGGAUACCGGGCCCUUCAGUGGAACGCAGGCUCAGGUGGACUCCCUGAGAACGAAACCACUUUUGCAAGAAUCUUGCAGCAGCAUGGCUAUGCAACUGGCCUCAUAGGAAAAUGGCACCAGGGUGUGAAUUGUGCAUCCCGCGGGGAUCACUGCCACCACCCCCUGAACCACGGAUUUGACUAUUUCUACGGCAUGCCCUUCACGCUCACAAACGACUGUGACCCAGGCAGGCCCCCCGAAGUGGACGCCGCCCUGAGGGCGCAGCUCUGGGGUUACACCCAGUUCCUGGCGCUGGGGAUUCUCUCCGUGGCUGCCGGCCAGACCUGCGGUUUCAUCUCUGUCUCCGCGAGAGCAGUCACCGGCAUGGCCGGCGUGGGCUUCCUGUUUUUCAUCUCUUGGUACUCCUCCUUCGGGUUUGUGCGACGCUGGAACUGUAUCCUGAUGAGAAACCAUGACGUCACGGAGCAACCCAUGGUUCUGGAGAAAACAGCGAGUCUUAUGCUAAAGGAAGCUGUUUCCUAUAUUGAAAGACACAAGCAUGGGCCAUUUCUCCUCUUCCUUUCUUUGCUGCAUGUGCACAUUCCCCUUGUGACCACGAGUGCCUUCCUGGGGAAAAGUCAGCAUGGCUUAUACGGUGAUAAUGUGGAGGAGAUGGACUGGCUCGUAGCCAGUGACUUAAUGUCAUCAUCAGAAGUUACCAAAAGUGAAGCAAUAAAGUUAAUGUUCAGGACAAUGCGGAGACACUGUCUUCCUUCUAUGGCCUUCAGGAAACCUGGAGAGGACCAGUGAGGCUGUAGAUUCUUAAAAGAGCACAGACAUUAAAAUUCUUGCAGAAUCUGAAUGUGUCUCCUGAGACAAGCAUAGUGAUAGAGUUCACAGUCUUAAAAGUCUGCAUUUUCAGGUGGGGCAAAGUGGCUCAUGCCUUUAAUCCCAGCAUUUUGAGAGGCUGAGGCAGGGAGAUGGCUUGAGGCCAGGAGUUCAAGACCAGCCUGGGCAACAUAGUGAGACCCCCCCCCCGCCAUCUCUACAAAAAAUCUAAAAAAUUAGACAGCCAUGGUGGUGUGCACCUGUGGUCCCAGCUACUCCGGAGGCUGAGGUGGGAAGAUCGUUUGAGCCCAGGAGGUUGAGGCUGCAAUGAGCUAUAAUUAUUGCACCACUGAACUCCAGCCUGGGCCACACAGCGAGACCCUGUCUCCAAAAUAAAAGAAAUAAAAGACGAAGAAUAGGGAGAAAAACUUCUGUCAUAUCAUUUAUUUGGUCCUUCAGUAUUUCCGAUUACUUAGUCUAAUUUUGCACAAAAUCAACUGUAUUAGUCCAUUCUUGCAAAGAAAUACCUGAGACCGGGUAAUUUAGAAAGAAAAGAGGUUGGAUUGGCUCACGGUUCUGCAGGCUGCAUAGGAAGCAUGGCGGCAUCUGCUUCUGGGGAGACCUUGGGGAGAUUUGCUCAUAGUGGAAGGCGAAGGGGGAGCAGGCAUCUCAUGGCAGGAGCAGGACCAAGAGAGGAGAGGAGGAGCCUCACACUUUUAAACAACCAGAUCUCAAGAGAAGCUACUCCCUCUGCAGCACCAAGAGGGGGAUGGUGCUCAACCAUUCAUGAGAACUCUGUCCCCAUCAUUCAGUCACCUUCCUCCAGGCCCCACCGCCAACACUGAGGAUGACAAUUCCACAUGAGAUUUGGGCAGGGACACACAUCCAAACUAUAUUGUCAACCUUCUACACAGCCAAUGACUUAACGUCCUCAUUAGAAGUUACAGAAACUAAAGCAAUAAAGUUUGGGACAAUGCAGAGAUGUCACCUUCCUUCUAUGGCCUUGAAGAAACCCUGGAG
rnacentral:sRNA from 1 species